UUUUUUUUUUUGUAGUCCUACAUAAUUAAUACCAACAUAACUUAUGAGAAAAUCUAUGUAUAAAGUUAUGCGGGGUAGAAGGUGAAAUAAGUUAUGUGAGUAUUAUUAUACAUGUAUUAAAAUAAUAAAUUACACAUUUACCCCUAUUGAUUUAUUUUUACGUCUUUUUAUUGAGAAUAUUACCUAACUAUAUAGAUUAUUAGCAUAGCAAUAUUGGAUAUUUUAUUUUUUUAAGUAAGUUGCAAAAAAUAUUGAAUAGGUGAUUACUACAGUGAUUGCUCUUCAAGAGAAGGUGGCGGUGGUGCUUCAAUGGAAACUGGAGGAGUAAGAGUUGUUGUCUUUUAGAUUAUUUUCGUAAGAAUUUAUUUGUGGUUUCGAUAAAUCAAGAAAUUAAUUUAAAGUGCUCAUUUGAGUUGAAAAAUAAAUAAAAUAAAAUAGCAAAAAAAUAAACAUAAUUCUCACUUAAGUAUAAAUGGAGAAUUCUUUUUUCUUUACACUUUUAUUCAAAAGUAGGGAGAAUUUAUAUUAUUUGCUUGCUCAUUUGUUGUAAAUAAUAAUAUAUUAAUUUACAACAAAUUCAAUAUUCAAUAGCUAAUAAUUCAUGCAUGGUAAUCUCUGCAUAACUAAAUAAUACCACAUAACCAAUACCUACAUAACUAAUACAUGCAUAACUAAUACCUACAUAACUAAAUCCUACAUAAUUAAACCCUGCAUAACUCGAACCAAUAACCAAACGGUCCCAUAGUUAUUAAGCAAGUUAGUUAAAAAGAAAGUUGUGUGUAUAAAUGAUGUAAAGCUAUACAGUUCAUUUUGAGUCGAAAUAAUAUCAUCUCUUUCUCUCUAGAGCUCUCCUCUUUUCUCCAUGGGAACUCUGGUAUAGUUCUCCAUUGAUGAAGCUUCACAUCACUUAACAGUUACCAUUCUUCUUGCCUUUCCCUGAUGUUUUCCUACUUGAUUUGGGAGAUAUGUCUGCUUAUUAAGAUACCUAAGUUAUAACAUGUGCUACAUCUUCUUCACCCCCUCCAAAACUAUAUGAUUUGUGACUUUAGAUUCUUUAACAGUCUUUUGUAUAGACUCCAUGGAAUGAAAAACAAUGUCAUUGGAGCCAUGAAAUUGUAUUGAAGCUAAACACGGUCAGAAACAGGAGAAUAAAAAAGACAAUCAUAUUAUCAUUACUCAAUAACAAAGAGAUCAAAAAACAGUACAAACAUCUUACUAAUAUCAGAGAACCAUUUCGACUUACUCCAAUUAAAAAAGGAGAAGCCAAGUAAAAGGGAAGAGUGGACUCUCGCUAUCGCUCAGGCUUCACAUAUAUACCAGAGCUUCC
rnacentral:lncRNA from 1 species